rnacentral:rRNA from 1 species
AGCAGCCGCGGUAAUUCCAGCUCCAAUAGCGUAUAUUAAAGUUGUUGCAGUUAAAAAGCUCGUAGUUGAAUUUCGGGAUCAAUAUAUCGGUCGUGUCUUGGUACGUACUGGUAUCAUUGGUUUCUCCUUUCUGACGAACCAUGAUGUCAUUAAUUUGGUGUUAUGGGAAGUUAGGACUGUUACUUUGAAAAAAUUAGAGUGUUUAAAGCAGGCUUUAGCUUGAAUACAUUAGCAUGGAAUAAUGAAAUAGGACGUUCGAACCUAUUUUGUUGGUUUCUAGGAUCAACGUAAUGAUUAAUAGGGAUAGUUGGGGGCAUUAGUAUUCAAUUGUCAGAGGUGAAAUUCUUGGAUUUAUUGAAGACUAACUACUGCGAAAGCAUUUGCCAAGGAUGUUUUCAUUAAUCAAGAACGAAAGUUAGGGGAUCGAAGACGAUCAGAUACCGUCGUAGUCUUAACCAUAAACUAUGCCGACUAGGGAUCGGAUGAUGUUAAUUUUUAAUGACUCAUUCGGCGCCUUACG